rnacentral:rRNA from 1 species
CCUACGGGAGGCAGCAGUGAGGAAUAUUGGUCAAUGGGCGCAAGCCUGAACCAGCCAAGUAGCGUGAAGGAUGACUGCCCUACGGGUUGUAAACUUCUUUUAUAAAGGAAUAAAGUGAGGCACGUGUGCCUUUUUGUAUGUACUUUAUGAAUAAGGAUCGGCUAACUCCGUGCCAGCAGCCGCGGUAAUACGGAGGAUCCGAGCGUUAUCCGGAUUUAUUGGGUUUAACGGGUGCGUAGGCGGAUUGUCAAGUCAGCGGUAAAAUUUCGGGGCUCAACCCCGUCGUGCCGUUGAAACUGACGGCCUUGAGUGAGUGAGAGGUAGGCGGAAUGCGUGGUGUAGCGGUGAAAUGCAUAGAUAUCACGCAGAACGCCGAUUGCGAAGGCAGCGUACCGGCGCUCAACUGACGCGGAGGCACGAAAGUGCGGGUAUCGAACAGGAUUAGAUACACGAGUAGUC